rnacentral:rRNA from 1 species
GGGGACCUUGCCCGGUGGUCAAACCGGGAGGAAGGUGGGAUGACGUCAAGUCCUCAUGGCCUUUAUGUCUAGGGCUACACACGUACUACAAUGGCAGGUACAAAGGGCAGCGACACAGCGAUGUGAUGCGAAUCCCGAAAGCCUGUCUCAGUCCGGAUCGGAGUCUGCAACUCGACUCCGUGAAGUUGGAAUCGCUAGUAAUCGUGGAUCAGCAUGCCACGGUGAAUACCGGUUCCCGGGCCUU